UGAUUAAAACGAUCACUGCUGA
rnacentral:piRNA from 1 species